rnacentral:rRNA from 1 species
CGCCGCGUGAGUGAUGAAGGCUUUCGGGUCGUAAAACUCUGUUGUUAGGGAAGAACAAGUGCUAGUUGAAUAAGCUGGCACCUUGACGGUACCUAACCAGAAAGCCACGGCUAACUACGUGCCAGCAGCCGCGGUAAUACGUAGGUGGCAAGCGUUAUCCGGAAUUAUUGGGCGUAAAGCGCGCGCAGGUGGUUUCUUAAGUCUGAUGUGAAAGCCCACGGCUCAACCGUGGAGGGUCAUUGGAAACUGGGAGACUUGAGUGCAGAAGAGGAAAGUGGAAUUCCAUGUGUAGCGGUGAAAUGCGUAGAGAUAUGGAGGAACACCAGUGGCGAAGGCGACUUUCUGGUCUGUAACUGACACUGAGGCGCGAAAGCGUGGGGAGCAAACAGGAUUAGAUACCCUGGUAGUCCACGCCGUAAACGAUGAGUGCUAAGUGUUAGAGGGUUUCCGCCCUUUAGUGCUGAAGUUAACGCAUAAGCACUCC